rnacentral:rRNA from 1 species
GGUGAGUAACACGUGGGUAUCUACCUAGCUGUACGGAACAACCGCGGGAAACUGCGGCUAAUACCGUAUACGCCCCUCGGGGGAAAGAUUUAUCGCAGCUAGAUGAGCCCGCGUCCGAUUAGCUAGUUGGCGGGGUAAUGGCCCACCAAGGCGACGAUCGGUAGCUGGUCUGAGAGGAUGACCAGCCACACUGGGACUGAGACACGGCCCAGACUCCUACGGGAGGCAGCAGUAGGGAAUAUUGGACAAUGGGGGAAACCCUGAUCCAGCCAUGCCGCGUGAGUGAUGAAGGCCUUAGGGUUGUAAAGCUCUUUCAGCGGGGAAGAUAAUGACGGUACCCGCAGAAGAAGCCUCGGCUAACUCCGUGCCAGCAGCCGCGGUAAUACGGAGGAGGCUAGCGUUGUUCGGAAUUACUGGGCGUGAAGCGUGCGUAGGCGGUUUUCUAAGAUGAGUGUGAAAGCCCGGAGCUCAACUCCGGAACUGCGCUCAUGACUGGAAUACUGGAGUCCGAGAGAGGUGAGUGGAAUUCCCAGUGUAGAGGUGAAAUUCGUAGAUAUCGGGAAGAACACCAGUGGCGAAGGCGCUCUGCUGGGCCAUCACUGACGCUCAUGGACGAAAGC